rnacentral:rRNA from 1 species
UGGGGAAUUUUCCGCAAUGGGCGAAAGCCUGACGGAGUGACGCCGCGUGUGGGACGAAGGCCUUCGGGUCGUAAACCACUGUCAGUGGGAAAGAUGGGUGUCGGCGCGAUAACCGCCGGCAUCUGACGGUACCUGCAGAGGAAGCCCCGGCUAACUCUGUGCCAGCAGCCGCGGUAAGACAGAGGGGGCAAGCGUUGCUCGGAAUUACUGGGCGUAAAGGGCGCGUAGGCGGGAUGGCAAGUCGGUCGUGAAAUCCCUCGGCUCAACUGAGGAGCGUCGAUCGAUACUGCCGUUCUUGAGGGUUGCAGAGGAGACUGGAAUUCCCGGUGUAGCGGUGAAAUGUGUAGAGAUCGGGAGGAACACCGGUGGCGAAGGCGGGUCUCUGGGCAACUCCUGACGCUGAGGCGCGAAAGCGUGGGGAGCAAACGGGAUUAGAUACCCCCGUAGUCC